GCGAUGAUGCCCAGCUUGCUGGGCGGAUUAGUGGCGAACGGGUGAGUAAUACGUGAGUAACCUGCCCUUGACUCUGGGAUAAGCCUGGGAAACUGGGUCUAAUACUGGAUACUACGUCCUGCCGCAUGGUGGGGGGUGGAAAGGGUUUUACUGGUUUUGGAUGGGCUCACGGCCUAUCAGCUUGUUGGUGGGGUAAUGGCUCACCAAGGCGACGACGGGUAGCCGGCCUGAGAGGGUGACCGGCCACACUGGGACUGAGACACGGCCCAGACUCCUACGGGAGGCAGCAGUGGGGAAUAUUGCACAAUGGGCGGAAGCCUGAUGCAGCGACGCCGCGUGAGGGAUGACGGCCUUCGGGUUGUAAACCUCUUUCAGUAGGGAAGAAGCGAGAGUGACGGUACCUGCAGAAGAAGCGCCGGCUAACUACGUGCCAGCAGCCGCGGUAAUACGUGGCGCCAAGCGUUGUCCGGGAAUUUAUUGGGCGUAAAAGAGCUCGUAGGCGGUUUGUCGCGUCUGCUGUGAAAAGGCCCGGGGGCUCAACCCCCGGGUCUGCAGUGGGUACGGGCAGACUAGAGUGCAGUAGGGGAGACUGGAAUUCCUGGUGUAGCGGUGAAAUGCGCAGAUAUCAGGAGGAACACCGAUGGCGAAGGCAGGUCUCUGGGCUGUUACUGACGCUGAGGAGCGAAAGCAUGGGGAGCGAACAGGAUUAGAUACCCUGGUAGUCCAUGCCGUAAACGUUGGGCACUAGGUGUGGGGGACAUUCCACGUUUUCCGCGCCGUAGCUAACGCAUUAAGUGCCCCGCCUGGGGAGUACGGCCGCAAGGCUAAAACUCAAAGGAAUUGACGGGGGCCCGCACAAGCGGCGGAGCAUGCGGAUUAAUUCGAUGCAACGCGAAGAACCUUACCAAGGCUUGACAUUCACCGGACUGCCCCAGAGAUGGGGUUUCCCUUCGGGGUCGGUGGACAGGUGGUGCAUGGUUGUCGUCAGCUCGUGUCGUGAGAUGUUGGGUUAAGUCCCGCAACGAGCGCAACCCUCGUUCUAUGUUGCCAGCACGUGAUGGUGGGGACUCAUAGGAGACUGCCGGGGUCAACUCGGAGGAAGGUGGGGAUGACGUCAAAUCAUCAUGCCCCUUAUGUCUUGGGCUUCACGCAUGCUACAAUGGCCGGUACAAAGGGUUGCGAUACUGUGAGGUGGAGCUAAUCCCAAAAAGCCGGUCUCAGUUCGGAUUGAGGUCUGCAACUCGACCUCAUGAAGUCGGAGUCGCUAGUAAUCGCAGAUCAGCAACGCUGCGGUGAAUACGUUCCCGGGCCUUGUACACACCGCCCGUCAAGUCACGAAAGUUGGUAACACCCGAAGCCGGUGGCCUAACCCCUUGUGGGAGG
rnacentral:rRNA from 1 species